GCUGGNAGUACGGCCGCAAGUUAAAACUCAAAUGAWUUGACGGGGGCCCGCAAAGCGGUGGAGCAUGUGGUUUAAUUCGAUGCAACGCGAAGAACCUUACCAGGUCUUGACUCCAGAGAACUUUCCAGAGAUGGAUUGGUGCCUUCGGGAGCUCUGAGACAGGUGCUGCAGGCUGUCGUCAGCUCGUGUCGUGAGAUGUUGGGUUAAGUCCCGUAACGAGCGCAACCCUGUCCUUAGUUGCCAGCACGUAAUGGUGGGAACUCUAAGGAGACUGCCGGUGACAAACCGAGGAAGGUGGGGACGACGUCAAGUCAUCAUGGCCCUUACGACCUGGGCUACACACGUGCACAAUGGAACGCACAGAGGGCAGCAAAAGCGCGAGCUGGAGCCAAUCCCACAAAACGUUCGUAGUCCGGAUCGGAGUCUGCAACUCGACUCCGUGAAGUCGGAAUCGCUAGUAAUCGUGAUCAGAAUGCCACGGUGAAUACGUUCCCGGGCCUUGUACACACCGCCCGUCACACCAUGGAGUGGGUUGCUCCAGAAGUGGUUAGCCUAACCUUCGGGGGGGCGAUCACCACGGAGUAUUCAUGACUGGGGUG
rnacentral:rRNA from 1 species